GACGAACCGUGCAAACGUUAUUCGGAAUCACUGGGCAUAAAGGGCGCGUAGGCGGCUCGAAAAGUCAGGGGUGAAAUCCGGCAGCUUAACUGUCGCAGUGCCUUUGAUACUGUCGAGCUCGAGGGAGGUAGGGGUCUGUGGAACUUCCGGUGGAGCGGUGAAAUGCGUUGAUAUCGGAAGGAACGCCGGUGGCGAAAGCGACGGACUGGAUCUCUUCUGACGCUGAGGCGCGAAAGCUAGGGGAGCAAACGGG
rnacentral:rRNA from 1 species